GGGGUUGUGGCUCAGUGAUAGAGUGCUUGCUUAGCAUGCAUGAGGCACUGGGUUCAAUCCUCAACACCA
rnacentral:tRNA from 1 species